rnacentral:lncRNA from 1 species
CGGGGCCUUCGGGGCGGGAGGUUCCGGCGUCGCGCUCGGCUUUCUCUUCCCGCCCGCCCGACCGCUCGAAGCUCGGUGCGGCCUGAGCCGAGAGAUUUCUCCCCUGAACCGUGAACGGACAAAGAGGCUGCCGCAGCAAGUAAAACAAAACUUGGACGGCUUCACGUCGAGCCCCGCAAGCGGCUGAGGGAAGAGCAUGAGCAUGAAGUCUGGGGCAUGGAACAGCAUGUGACAGUGGGACCCCCGGGAGUGAGUAAGAACAAGAGUAACCUCAGAAGAAGCAUGGCAGCACCAUGGCUGGAAAGGUCACCUGACACCAGCAAAUAUGAAACCUGCUCUCUCUACUUCAUGACAGAAUAUGAUGAAAUUUGUAGGCAAAAUGCUUCAGAUUCUCAGGGAAAUCAAGGGCACGGGCUGGACCUGGAUGAAGGGAGAGAACUGAAGCAUGCAAAGGAGACAAUGCACUGCCAAGUGCAUUGUGUUGCCAAGUGUGCUGGCCCACACCUAUAAUCCCAGCACUGGAGAGGCUGAGGCAGGAG